rnacentral:sRNA from 1 species
AGCCGCACUUGUUCGAUUGGGAAACUCAUCAAAUUUUACCUAAUUCCGAGACAUAGCUUUUGCUGCCAAUGGCGGGCCGCGCCCUUCGGGGUAUGCUUCGCACGGCGGAUUACAAAGGCGGCAAGGCACUCAAAUCCUGUCAUACGGAGUUUUGUUCAUAUCUCGGUGCGGCUUUUA